rnacentral:tRNA from 1 species
GGCUCCGUGGCGUAGUUGGUAUCGCAUUGGCCUAGAAUGCCGAAGACGCUGGUUCGAAUCCAGCCGGUGCCC